rnacentral:ncRNA from 2 species
AACCGGAUAGAAGGAUACGUUCCGGUAGAUUUCACGGUUGUCCAAGGGAAAUCCGGUGAGAUGCCGGUGCGGACGCGCCACUGUAUCCGGGACCCAGAUCCCGGGAGCCAGGUCGCUUGGCGGCCGUGACCUCGCUGU